AUUGAACGCUGGCGGCAUGCUUUACACAUGCAAGUCGAACGGUAACAGGCCGCAAGGUGCCGACGAGUGGCGCACGGGUGAGUAAUGCUUAGGAAUCUGCCUAUUAGUGGGGGACAACAUUCCGAAAUGACUGCUAAUACCGCAUACGUCCUACGGGAGAAAGCAGGGGAUCUUCGGACUUUGCGCUAAUACCUGCGCCGAAGUCGGAUUAGCUAGGUGGUGGGGUAAAGGCCUACGAAGGCGACGAUAUGUAGCGGGUCUGAGAGGAUGAUACGCCACACUGGGACUGAGACACGGUCAAGACCCCUACGGGAGGCAGCAGUGGGGAAUUUUCCACAAUGAGCGAAAGCCUGAUGGAGCAACGCCGCGUGUGUGAUGAAGGUUUUCGGAGCGUAAAGCACUUUCGACUGGGACGAAAAACCUUUGGCUAACAUCCAGGGGCCUGACGGUACCAGGAGAAGAAGCACCGGCUAACUCUGUGCCAGCCGCCGCCGUAAAAC
rnacentral:rRNA from 1 species